rnacentral:rRNA from 1 species
UACGUAGGGCGCAAGCGUUGUCCGGAAUUAUUGGGCGUAAAGAGCUCGUAGGCGGCUUGUCACGUCGAUUGUGAAAGCCCGGGGCUUUAACUCCGGGUCUGCAGUCGAUACGGGCUAGCUAGAGUGUGGUAGGGGAGAUCGGAAUUCCUGGUGUAGCGGUGAAAUGCGCAGAUAUCAGGAGGAACACCGGUGGCGAAGGCGGAUCUCUGGGCCAUUACUGACGCUGAGGAGCGAAAGCGUGGGGAGCGAACAGG